rnacentral:rRNA from 1 species
UACGAAGGGGGCUAGCGUUGUUCGGAAUUACUGGGCGUAAAGCGCACGUAGGCGGACAUUUAGGUCAGGGGUGAAAUCCCAGAGCUCAACUCUGGAACUGCCUUUGAUACUGGGUGUCUUGAGUAUGGAAGAGGUGAGUGGAAUUCCGAGUGUAGAGGUGAAAUUCGUAGAUAUUCGGAGGAACACCAGUGGCGAAGGCGGCUCACUGGUCCAUUACUGACGCUGAGGUGCGAAAGCGUGGGUAGCGAACAGG